AUUUAAAUAGUUUAGGGGAAUAAAAUAUAAUAUUGAAGAUAUUAUGAUGAUUUUUAAUCUUUAAAUA
rnacentral:tRNA from 1 species